UUUGAUUGGCCUCAUUUUAGUGACCAACUACCUAACUAAUUAGUUAACCAGCUAACUUUCUUUCUCCUCCUUUUCUGCCUCUUCCCCUUCUCUCCCUCCUCCACCCUUUCUCCCUCUCUGCCUUCCCCUUUCUCCCUCUCUACCUCACUUCCAUCCCUCAGUUCACCCUCCCUUCCUCCCUUCCUGCCUCUCUCUCUCCUACCCUCCUCUCCUCCCUUCCUGCCCCUCUGUCUCCUACCCUCCCCUCCUCCCUUCCUCCUCCCUGUUUCUUCCACUCUCCCCUCUCCCUCCAUUCUUCUCUCCCUCCCUCCCCUUUCCCUUCUUGCCCCUCCCCUGGCUUUCCCACCUCUUCCAGCCUUGCUCUGGCUGAGGUUAUGGAGAUACAUAAAUAACACUUGAGCCUUGAUCACCACCUGGAGUUGGAGAAGACACAGCAGGACACACUCAGGAUAAGAAGCUGGAACAGAGCCUCUCAGGAGCAGUACCAUUUAAUCCUUCACCGCCUAAGAGGAGAUGAGAGCUGUUAUUCCCAUUUUAAAGAUGAAGAAACUGAGCCUAGCAGAGACUGAGAAAAAGCAAUCACACAACUAGGGAAUGGCAGCAUAACAACAAAAAUCCAGAAACCUUUCUGUGGGUGAUUGUACAGUCCCACAUCUCCCCACUGGAAAUCUAGCAACACCCAGUGCAGAAGGGGCAAGGGCAGAGGAACUUGCCUGCACUGCUGCAGGAGUGUACACUGGCGUGAUGUCUGGCAUUCCUCAGCCUGCUCUCCUCUGGUGUCUGGUCCCUUCAAGACGUGGAAACAGCUGUCACCAAGACCCUGAUGAUCUCCAGGUCACCGAAUCCCAAGGCAGCACAAGCGUGGUGCAGUGGUGUGCAUGUGUGCACACUCACACUGUUUCCAGCAUAGAAAACGGCCUUGGGAUAUGCUGCUCCAUCCUCCUGGCCUGGCAGCCUUUCUUGCUCCCACCCUACUUUGUCAGCGUUCACCUGUCAUUCAGACUGGAUCCCGUUUAGACUCACCAGGUGUGGAUCUGCUUGUGUAAUGAGCU